rnacentral:rRNA from 1 species
CUUGCUUUGCUAAGUCUAGUGGCGAACGGGUGAGUAACACGUGAGCAACCUGCCCAGAAGCAGGGAAUAAGCCACCGAAAGGUGGUCUAAUACCGUAUGUGAUUCCAAGGGGCAUCUCUUGGACAUUAAAGGGGGGGAUCUUCGGACCUCUCACUUCUGGAUGGGCUCGCGGCCUAUCAGCUUGUUGGUGAGGUAACGGCUCACCAAGGCAACGACGGGUAACUGGUCUGAGAGGACGACCAGUCACACUGGAACUGAGACACGGUCCAGACACCUACGGGUGGCAGCAGUCGAGAAUCAUUCACAAUGGGCGAAAGCCUGAUGGUGCGACGCCGCGUGGAGGAUGACAGCCCUAGGGUUGUAAACUCCUGUCAUGAGAGAGUAAAGACUUAACGUAAAUACCGUUGGGUCCUGAUAGUAUCUCAAGAGGAAGGGACGGCUAACUUCGUGCCAGCAGCCGCGGUAAUACGAAGGUCCCAAGCGUUGUUCGGAAUUACUGGGCGUAAAGCGUGCGUAGGCGGCAUGGUAAGUCAGAUGUGAAAUCCCAGGGCUCAACCCUGGAACUGCAUCCGAUACUGCCAAGCUAGAGUAGUGGAGGGGAGUCUGGAAUUCACGGUGUAGCAGUGAAAUGCGUAGAUAUCGUGAGGAAC